rnacentral:lncRNA from 1 species
AUUUGAUAAAAACAAGCAAAAGAAAGCUCUAAUUAUAAAAUACAUAUAAAUAUAAAAAAAAAAAUAUACAAAUGCAUAUACAUAUUAAAUUUUAUGAUUUCACAUUAAGAAAGAAGCCUUAUUGGCUGUCAUUGUUUGUUAAGGUACGUAUAAUGACCAUCAAACUUUUGAUUGCGAGUGUGUGUUGAUGGUAAAAAGGGGAUACAUAAUUUCUUUAAGAAGCUGACUUAAAAAUCCAGUUAAUAAAAAACAAAAUUGUUUGGAAUCAAAUAUGUUCCUGUACAUGCUGUAUGAUAAUCAAACCAUACUCUGUUUAGACCGGAGUUUGCAAA